rnacentral:rRNA from 1 species
GACGAACGCUGGCGGCGUGCCUAAUACAUGCAAGUAGGACGCAGUUGCGAACGGGUGAGUAACGCGUAGGUAACUACCUAUUAGAGGGGGAUAACUAUUGGAACCGAUAGCUAAUACCGCAUACUAGUAGAUGGACCUGCGUUGUAUUAGCUAGUAGGUAGGGUAAUGGCCUACCUAGGCAACCAUAAAUAGCCGACCCGAUGAGGGGAUCGGGCAAACUGGGACUGGGACACGGCCCAGACUCCUACGGGAAGCCGCAGGAGGGAAUCUUUGGCAAUGGGGGGAACCCUGACCGAGCAACGCCGCGUGAUUGAAGAAGGUUUUCGGAUCGUAAAGCUAUGUUGUUAAGGAAGCGGUACUUAACCAGAAAGGGACGGCUAACUACGUGCCAGCCGCCGCGGUAAUUC